ensembl:misc_RNA Metazoa_SRP Metazoan signal recognition particle RNA
GCUGGGCAUGGUGGUGCAUGCCUGUGGCCUCAGCUACUUGGGAGGCUGAGGUGGGAGGAUCACUUGAGCCUGGGAGGUUGAGGCUUCAGUGAGCGGUGAUCACGCCACUGCACUCCCACCUAGGCAACAGAGUGAGACACUAUCUCUA